rnacentral:rRNA from 1 species
AGCGAACGCUGGCGGCAUGCCUAACACAUGCAAGUCGAACGACACCUUAGGGUCUGCUGGCGCACGGGUGCGUCACGCGUGGGAAGCUGCCCGUAUAUUCGGAAUAACUCCCCUAAAUGGGGGCUAAUGCCGGGUAAUUUAUGCUGACCAAGCAUUUAUCGCCUUUGGGUGGGCCCGAGUUGUCUUAGCUUGUUGGUAGGGUAAAAGCCUAUCAAGGCGAGGAUCCAUAGCUGGGCUGAGAGGCAGAUCAGCCACUCUGGGACGGAGACACGGCCCAGACUCCUACGGGAGGCAGCAGUGGGGAAUAUUGGAAAACGGGCGAAAGCCUGAUCCAGCAAUGCCGCGUGAGUGAUGAAGGCCUUAGGGUUGUACAGCACUUUUACCCGGGAUGAUACUGACAGUACCGGGAGAAUAAGCACCGGCUAACUCCGUG